GGGGGCGAAAGGUUUCGACCGGACGAAUUGAGGUGUCAGUCGCGUGCCCAGGUUCCAGGAGGCCUGGUUAAACACCUGGAAAACCUAAAGAUGCCGACAACGGCUAUCGCAUGGCUGCCUAACUACUGACAGCCCGUCGCCACACCCGGCCUGCGGGGUGUGGUCGACGACACCAGCAGGCUAGCGACGGCGGAGUGGUCCGGUUACCGCCAGGGCGAAUCACGGCCGGGCUGGCCCCGAGGUGACCGUGUCGGUGCGGGUCCGACGGGCGAAACAUCAGUGAAAUACACCGCCUACGCACGUAGAAGCUGCCGCUGAAGCGUCACGGGACGCCGGUUCAAUUCCGGCCGCCUCCAGUC
rnacentral:tmRNA from 1 species